rnacentral:rRNA from 1 species
GACGUAGGGGGCCAGCGUUGCUCGGAAUUACUGGGCGUAAAGGGUUCGUAGGCGGUGUGGCAAGUCGGAAGUGAAAUCUCCAGGCUUAACUUGGAGGCUGCUCCCGAAACUGCCAUGCUAGAGUGCGGGAGAGGCGAGUGGAAUUGCAGGUGUAGCGGUGAAAUGCGUAGAUAUCUGCAGGAACACCCGUGGCGAAGGCGGCUCGCUGGACCGCAACUGACGCUGAGGAACGAAAGCUAGGGGAGCAAACAGG